ensembl:lncRNA
AUAGAAUGUCAAAAGAAUGCAUAGUUUGAUGAACACUUUAUCAAAUACCCAAAUAGGAACUUUUGUUGAACGUUGCCAACCAAAAGAUAAAAUACACAUCCUCAUUUUGUUUUGCUCAACAAAAUAUUUUCUUUUAUUCUGCAAGAGAACUGAAUAUGGCUCCACUGAUAAACGUACAUUAGUUUCAGCUCAUAAACAAAGGUAGACCUACAACCAACAAACUGUUGCAACCAAUACGAGAAAGUAAAGUGAACUGUGAUUGGCAAAACACAUUUGAAGGACAGAAUACCAAGAGAAGCCGCUGGCCGGUAACACUGAGAAAGAGACUGCUUACAGCUGCGAGGCACGACGUCGUAUCCACGCAUAUCAAUGCCUCUUCAGAAGUUCAGGUCAUUCAAAUGAAACCAGACAGUUAUUUCAAAUAUAGAUAGAAUCAAGAUCAAAUUCUGGGGACUUUACGUAAAAAUUUGCGCCAACAAUAGCAAACUGCUUUGGCAUAACUUGGGGAGGGGGGGGGGGUGUGAAUCAUUGUUUAGCAGUUUAGGAUAUUUGCUCCCAUUGUUACAAUACGACAUGGAAUAAUAACAUUUGGAAAAUGUUUAACGAGGACAGAAAUAUUCCAAGCCCAAUGUCAUCAAAGCGCGUGUGUAAAAGGGCUCCUUUCUCAGUAUUACGCUGUUAUGGCAUCAUACAACUGCCACUCGUCUCAGCUGUAAGCGGCGAUAAACUUGCUAUAUUAAAUUCAGAUCUGAAUACACCAUAAACAGACAAAUAACAGUUGUUUUUUUCAAAGACAUCUUAUUUUCCAUUUUCUUUUAUACACAAAAAACAACAGUCAAGAGUACCAAAUAUGCAUGCUGGAUCUGUACGUAUGUCAAAAAGGGUAAGUGGGGAAACGGCAUAUACACUUCUUUUUUUUUUUUUAAAUCUUUUUUUCAAGUUAGUUUAUUUUAAAAGUUCUUUUAUUUUCAUAUAUAUAUAUGAAGCUGUUUCUCCUCGAAGCUGUGCUGGGUACUGUGAUCAGAUGAGCAGUGGUAAGAAACAACACAACUCUUUGCUGAGAAUCACAAACCCAUUCAAACCUGGCUGCAAAUAAAACUUUGCAGAAACUGCUCGAGGGCGAGCAGUAGUAUUUGUAGUAACGGAAAGUACUAUUUCGGUAGCAGAGGAACAACAGACAGUUGCUAGUUUUAACAGUCCUCGGGUGGUGGCGAGCAUAAACACCGUCACAGAAAGGUAACAGGAGGCUUAUUGUACCUUUCCGUUCCAGAGACUGCACCUUUGUUUGGAUCAAAAAGUUCCUUUAUUUUCUUAAAGGUGGAUCUAAGACUUUUUUAAACUCUGGAGUUAUUUGAGUUUUCCAACGUGAAAACUCAACCAAACAGUCUGUAGAACUAAACUUGACGUAUUUUGGUUUGUCCCACUAACGCUGAACUCCUUCCUGUCCUGUCCUUAGUACUACAACGAGAGAAACGCAGCCCGUUCCAAAGACGUCUGCACUGCGGGAGUGGAACGGGUGCACCUGAGGCUAAACAUGCGCUCCUCCACCAAAAACCCCUGGCCGACAGAAAUGGGGAUAUUGCAUGUUGUGGUGGAGUGACUCCCGAAGGAGAAGCCGUCCUGCAGAAACCUCAAACGUGUAAGUGUUGGAUGCAUCUGACUGAAAUGAUCAAAAACGGCCGACGCUUUAAAGACAGUUGAUACAAAUAUUUUUGGCCCUCUGUGCAGCAGGUUACUGCUGUUGGAGGGAGAAGUUUCUUCUUCAAAAUACACAUCCAUUUACAUUUGAUACCUCUUUGGAAGUAUAAACACGGAAAAGAAAAAAGUUGGUCUUAUCAAAUUGCUGUCAAAUGAACAAAGCCCCCGAGGUUCCCCAAAUAUAAGUGUAUAUAUAAUAAUAUUUUUUUAACACACAAUAAAAAAAUGCACUGCCAUCCAUUUAAAGGGAACUUUAUGUGAAGAUUCUCCAAACACAUUUUUGCUCUUGAGAUUUUUGCAGGACCUGUUCAACAGAUACAGAAAAGUUUAAAAUUGCAGUAAGUAUCCAAACUCCAGCUAUGGCCAGUCGAGACUUUUUGUAGUUCUGUGAAAAGAAGUCAGUUUGUACACAAACAGAGGAGUGCAGAUCAAGUUACAUCUGAUUGAUUCUACAUCGGGACAUCAUUGAACACGGAUCCUGUUUAAACUCUGCACAGAUGAACCAACAAUCCUGGCUAGCUGUACGGGACACGCACUCACAGAACGUGGUUUUAUCGUCUGAGUUGUGUAAAUAUCAAGGCAAUGGAGACAAAAAGAAAAUCAUCACUGAUACAUCCAUUUCCAAUGAUCGACAACUGAAGGAUUAACGAGAACUGAAAUCUUUGGUCUUAAUGUUUUGGGGGGAAAAAUGAAAACAGUCAAAGAACAGCGACUACGACUCAAAGUGUAACGUCUUUAAGCUCUGUGUGCACGGCGGACACGACACCGCCGUGUGAAUGUGACUCGUGAUGCUCACGCAGACGCCACAGGUUAAUAUUAAAACAAGUCUAUUGUAGAUUACAAUGUGUGCAAUUUCAGACGAGCCCUCUGUGGAGGAAAAGAUCCGAACGUAUCGCUGAGAAGUUUCAAAAAAGCGCCUCCUGCCCUCCUAAAGUAGCUCUGCGUCUGCCUGUAACCAAUACUGUACAUCUGUCAUAAAACUCUAAAAACCCCGGCCCUGCUCACUGUGAAACAAACUUCUUUUCAGGUUUAUUUUUCCUUCAAUAAAUGUAUUUCAUAUAAAGACAUUCAAUAGUCAGCAAUGCAAUACAGUUCAAGUAAUAAAGUUAGGGAUGUUUUGGAGGUCCCUGUUCGGAAGGAAAACAUAAAACCUUCAGACUGUGUGGUGGUGGGGGGGGGGGCUUGACUAGGCUACAGGAAGCAAUGAAGGACACGCCUCUUGAAGGGAGGACACUUCAGAAGUCAGAGAUGUGGGGCUCUAGCUUAAUCGGCUGAGAGUGAUUGACGUCUCAUUGCAGAAGUAACCCUGAUUUAUUGAUGUAGGUUUUUGUAAAUCGCUGGUUUUGUUGUGUGAUCGUUUCUACGGUAAACCUGAAACACCUGAGGGUUAAUGAGCAGAAAGGGUCGUGGAGACGUUGAACGUCCGCCGGAUGGAACAGGCCGUCGUUCCCGAUAGCACCUUGAGAGUUAUGAUCGUCACGGCCAAACACGACUGGUGGUGCUUAAAGUUGAGGGUUGGGGGGGGGGGGGACGCCGUGGACACGGACUGAUCCUAUUUGUACAUUCAAGAUUAAGUGGGUAAGCCCCGCCUUCCCUUCAGACACCCGCAAAGUCGACACUUAUGUUCUAAUUCUUGCAAGUUCAAAAUUUGGUAAAAAAAAGUCACAUUUCCUGUGUGAACGUGACUUUGUGCCCUGAAAUAAGAGACGCGGGAGGCGCAAAACAAGCCUGCAUCGUUGAAUGCGUCCAAUGACGAUUUGCUUUUACGCGGUUAUGCUAAUUGCCAUGUGGCCUUGUUUACGUUUACUUCUCAAGACCUCGUCCAACCUCUGACCACGAGGUCCCAGUAGGUGCUGCGUGUAGC